rnacentral:lncRNA from 1 species
AGAUCCUGCCUUCUGAGAAGAGCUCACCAGAGUGACUGGCGAGGCCGGUGUGGAGGCAGAACCCAGGCUGCUGCAGAGCACGGCUCCUGCAGCAUCCCCGCCAGGCGACCGCGGCUGCGCGGCUGACCAGACCGCUCACGUCGGCGAGGGAAAGUGUUGCACCCAUUGGUCGUGUCAUUCAGCUGUUUGUUCUGAAUUCACGCUCUGCUUCCCCGCUGCAGAGGAGCACAAGGCCAGCUGUUCCUUCAGCUAUGAUUUUAGCUUUUGCUUUCGGAUGUACCAAAACCAGAGCCUUCCCGCUCAGCACUCAGCAGCAUUCUGCCCGUUCAAGGCCAUUUGUGCAGUUUCUGAAGAGGAUGCUGAUACUGCUUGUGCCCAGGGUCCAGUCCAGGAUCCUUUUCAUCCAGCAUCCCCAGGAGUUUGAAUAAGCUCACCUGGAAGCCAGCUUCACACACUGUUUGCA